rfam:Gossypium raimondii Chr03_contig_460, whole genome shotgun sequence.
UGUUAAAAAUUUCAUUAAUUUCUACUAUUAAAAAAUAACGUGAAAGGCAGAAUAAUCGAACAAUUACACGUGGAGUGCAACAUGUACCUCAUUUUAACGUCCAAUGACUGUUUUUUUAAUAACAGAACUGGAUGAAAAUUUUAACA